rnacentral:tRNA from 1 species
GAAUUGGUGGUUCAGUGGUAGAAUUCUCACCUUUUACAUGGGAAACCUGGGUUUGAUUCCCAGGCAAUGUA